rnacentral:rRNA from 1 species
GACGAACGCUGGCGGCGUGCUUAACACAUGCAGGUCGAACGGAAAGGCCCUGCUUUUGUGGGGUGCUCGAGUGGCGAACGGGUGAGUAACACGUGAGUAACCUGCCCUUGACUUUGGGAUAACUUCAGGAAACUGGGGCUAAUACCGGAUAGGAGCUCCUGCUGCAUGGUGGGGGUUGGAAAGUUUCGGCGGUUGGGGAUGGACUCGCGGCUUAUCAGCUUGUUGGUGGGGUAGUGGCUUACCAAGGCUUUGACGGGUAGCCGGCCUGAGAGGGUGACCGGCCACAUUGGGACUGAGAUACGGCCCAGACUCCUACGGGAGGCAGCAGUGGGGAAUAUUGCACAAUGGGCGGAAGCCUGAUGCAGCAACGCCGCGUGCGGGAUGACGGCCUUCGGGUUGUAAACCGCUUUCGCCUGUGACGAAGCGUGAGUGACGGUAAUGGGUAAAGAAGCGCCGGCUAACUACGUG